CGGGUGCACUGAUCCAGCCGGGCCUUUCCCUCUGUGGAACCCCAUGGCCUUCACUGGCUGUGGUGGGGAAACAGGACUUUUACUUUGAAAAAAUUAGAGUGCUCCAGGCAGGCCUAUGCUUGAAUACAUUAGCAUGGAAUAAUAGAAUAGGACGUGUGGUUCUAUUUUGUUGGUUUCUAGGACCGCCGUAAUGAUUAAUAGGGACAGUCGGGGGCAUCAGUAUUCAAUUGUCAGAGGUGAAAUUCUUGGAUCUAUUGAAGACUAACUACUGCGAAAGCAUUUGCCAAGGAUGUUUUCAUUGAUAAGGAACGAAAGUUAGGGGAUCGAAGACGAUCAGAUACCGUCGUAGUCUUAACUAUAAACUAUGCCGACUAGGGAUCGGACGAUGUUAUUCUUUGACGCGUUCGGCACCUUUCGAGAAAUCAAAGUGCUUGGGCUCCAGGGGGAGUAUGGUCGCAAGGCUGAAACUUAAAGAAAUUGACGGAAGGGCACCACCAGGGGUGGAACCUGCGGCUUAAUUUGACUCAACACGGGGAAACUCACCAAGUCCAGACACAGUGAGGAUUGACAGAUUGAGAGCUCUUUCUUGAUUCUGUGGGUGGUGGUGCAUGGCCGUUCUUAGUUGGUGGAGUGAUUUGUCUGCUUAAUUGCGAUAACGAACGAGACCUUAACCUGCUAAAUAGCCCGUACUGCUUUGGCAGUUCGCCGGCUUCUUAGAGGGACUAUCGG
rnacentral:rRNA from 1 species